rnacentral:rRNA from 1 species
CCAGCAGCCGCGGUAAUACAGAGGGUGCGAGCGUUAAUCGGAUUUACUGGGCGUAAAGCGUGCGUAGGCGGCUUAUUAAGUCGGAUGUGAAAUCCCCGAGCCCUUCAUUGGGAAUUGCAUUCGAUACUGGUGAGCUAGAGUAUGCCAUAGGAUGGUAGAAUUCCAGGUGUAGCGGUGAAAUGCGUAGAGAUCUGGAGGAAUACCGAUGGCGAAGGCAGCCAUCUGGCCUAAUACUGACGCUGAGGUACGAAAGCAUGGGGAGCAAACAGGAUUAGAUACCCUGGUAAAACUUU